UACGAAGGUCCCAAGCGUUAUCCGGAUUUAUUGGGUUUAAAGGGUGCGUAGGCGGGUUAUUAAGUCAGUGGUGAAAGCCUUCAGCUCAACUGAAGAAUUGCCAUUGAUACUGAUGAUCUUGAGUAUGAUUGAGGUGGGCGGAAUGUGUCAUGUAGCGGUGAAAUGCUUAGAUAUGACACAGAACACCGAUUGCGAAGGCAGCUCACUAAGUCAUAACUGACGCUGAUGCACGAAAGCGUGGGGGAGCAAACAGG
rnacentral:rRNA from 1 species